rnacentral:sRNA from 1 species
ACUGGGUUUGGUGGCAAAUACCUGUAACCCCAGCUACUUGGGGGGCUGAGGCAGGAGGAUCACAAGUUCUAGGCCAAUCUCAGCAACUCAGUGAGAUCUUGUCUCAA